UGGCGGACGGGUGAGUAACGCGUGGGUAACCUGCCUCAUACAGGGGGAUAACAGUUAGAAAUGACUGCUAAUACCGCAUAAGACCACGGUACCGCGUGGUACAGUGGUAAAAACUCCGGUGGUAUGAGAUGGACCCGCGUCUGAUUAGGUAGUUGGUGGGGUAACGGCCUACCAAGCCAACGAUCAGUAGCCGACCUGAGAGGGUGACCGGCCACAUUGGGACUGAGACACGGCCCAG
rnacentral:rRNA from 1 species